ACCUGGGAUAACAUGGAGCCAAGACUU
rnacentral:piRNA from 1 species